ensembl:lncRNA
UUUAGAUGUAAAGCUAAAUUUCUCCAAAUUUGUUCCAAUGAAUAAACAAACACAACUACAUCUUGGAUGGCUUGAGGGAUCCAUUGGUGGGCAAGUGAUGUAAUGCUAAAUUUCACCAAAUUUUCUCCAAAUCUGUUCCUAAGAAACAAAGUCAUCUACGUCUUGGAUGGCCAGAGAGUGAGUAUAUUUUUGGCAAAUCUUCAUUGUUGUAUGAACUAUUCCUUUAGGAGAAAAAAAAAAUAAAACAAAACAAACAAAAAAAACCUUUGUCAUUUUCCUGCAGUGUCCACAAGCAUAUGGUUUAAGAUGUUCUGAUUAAAGCUGGUUUCAAGAAGCACCUACAGUAAACCACCUGAAAACAGGCAAGAUGUGGACAGACCCUGUCAGUACAAUGAUAUAGCUGGCCCAAUCUCGCUCUCAUGUCCACUCACAUCAGUACAGACAGAGAGAGAGAAGCCCUUGUUUACUCUUCAGGCCAUUUCUGUGGACGACAAGCCAAAGUAACGUCCUGCAUCAUUCCUUUCGUCAUGUGAUCUUGAAUGUCCGAGCAUGUCUGAGCAAUUUCAAACGCAAAAUGAAGGGAUAUUGCAAGGCAUUUCAAACUCAUAUGGCUUUCUUUCUUCGUUCCUUGGAUGAACACAAGGAGAUUUUUUGAAGAAUGCACUGGAUGCUGAUAUACACUGUAAAAAAAUAUUUUUUUAAAGUCAUAAAUAAAAG